rnacentral:rRNA from 1 species
AGUGAACGCUGGCGGUAGGCCUAACACAUGCAAGUCGAACGGCAGCACAGGGGAGCUUGCUCUCUGGGUGGCGAGUGGCGGACGGGUGAGGAAUACAUCGGAAUCUACUUUUUCGUGGGGGAUAACGUAGGGAAACUUACGCUAAUACCGCAUACGACCUACGGGUGAAAGCAGGGGACCUUCGGGCCUUGCGCGAUUGAAUGAGCCGAUGUCGGAUUAGCUAGUUGGCGGGGUAAAGGCCCACCAAGGCGACGAACCGUAGCUGGUCUGAGAGGGUGAUCAGCCACACUGGAACUGAGACACGGUCCAGACUCCUACGGGAGGCAGCAGUGGGGAAUAUUGGACAAUGGGCGCAAGCCUGAUCCAGCCAUACCGCGUGGGUGAAGAAGGCCUUCGGGUUGUAAAGCCCUUUUGUUGGGAAAGAAAUCCAGCUGGCUAAUACCCGGUUGGGAUGACGGUACCCAAAGAAUAAGCACCGGCUAACUUCGUGCCAGCCGCCGCUGUAA